UGCAUGAACUAUUGGCGUUGGCUAUCUAAAAGGACAGAAAGGUAGACAUGAGCAACAGAUCUCGCUCCAUGGGCUGAAACUGGGAUUCGUGAUGAAAGUGCUACUGCCGCUCUCAACUGUAGCGGUGUGGUACUGGGAUCCUUGCCAAUAAGGCUAGGGGAUUGAAGAAGCACUUGAAGAGGCUCAAUGCGCCCAAGCAUUGGAUGCUCAACAAGCUUGGCAGAGCUUUUGCUCCCAAGCCAUCUUCUGGACCUCACAAGUCCAGGGA